GAUGAACGCUGGCGGCGUGCCUAAUACAUGCAAGUCGAGCGAAGCGGGGACGGGUGAGUAACACGUGGAUAACCUCCUAUAAGACUGGGCUAACUUCGGGAAACCGGAGCUAAACCGGAUAAUUAUAGAUGGAUCCGCGCUGCAGUAGCUAGUUGGAAAGGAAACGGCUUACCAAGGCAACGAUGCAUAGCCGACCUGAGAGGGUGAUCUGCCACACUGGACCUGAGACACGGUCCAGACUCCUACGGUAGGACGCAGGAGGGAAUCUUCCGCAAGGGGCGAAAGCCUGACGGGGCAACGCCGCGUGAGUGAUGAAGGUCUUCGGAUCGUAAAACUCUGUUAUUAGGGAAGCGGUACCUAAUCAGAAAGCCACGGCUAACUACGUGCCAGCAGCCGCGGUAAUUC
rnacentral:rRNA from 1 species